CCGGACGCCAUCCUCCUACAGACGGACGGACACCGGAAACCGCCACGCAGCGAACUGCCGCCGCUGUGCUGCUGAUGCUACACCCGCUCCAUGCCGGAGCUUCACCGAGGAGCCAGAAACAACCCGAGGGAUGCAAGAAUCCACCUCAGGCGAGUGCCUUAUGGUCCCCCACAGCCAGCAAGAAAUGGAUUCCUGUACAGUAGCACAGUAUCUACUGCUUUGAAACUGAUGGGAGCUUCCUGCAUAACUGGCACCUGACUGAGUUAAUAAUGGUAAGUGAAAUUAAUUUUAAGUAAAAUUUGUUUUUCAAUAUUGUAUUGUGAAGAGCUGCCAAAAAUGUCAUGGGUAUUACUACACCUCAUACUCAAAUAAGGUCGAGGACUUAGAUUCGGGUCAUAAUGAUUUUGAGCUUGUUGAUUGGUUUAAACCUGUAAAAUAAAUCUGCAUGAGAAAUUCAAGUUUGUGCAUGUGGAAAAAAUGUGCUUGCGCCAAAGAAAUUUGUAUUUUUGUGUGAAUUACAGUUUUUUUUCUGUUAAGAAAUAGAAAAAACAGCUCACAAAUUCUGUGUUAUGUGUACUAGAUAUUCCCACUCAACAUGACAUGAAAUUAUGUUAUUAAAACAAAUCGUUUGGUUGAAAAUGUGUUAAACUAACAGAAAUCUCCAGGCACAAGUGGCACAUUUAUUUUGUAUUGGGUGCACUCACAGCUGUCAUGUAACUACUAAACUAAAGGAUUUUUUUUUUUAUGUGCAUCUGUUUCCGGUAAAUCUCAGUAGAGUGUGAUUAGGCUAAGUAAUGCCAAAUGUUAUGUUAAUUUGACUUUAAAACUUCACUUACACAAUAUGACUCACAUUUAAACUUUUUUCACUGCUUACAUUACAGUUUGUAUUCUUCAUCCCUUUUCCCUUUUUUCCAUCUCUUAAUGCUACUUCAACUGCGUCUUGAUUCAAAAAGAAAACAUGAGUGCAAGUAAAGUUCAGUCUCAAAGACAAAAUCAUCAGUUGGAUGUGACAGUGUUGCUUUUACUAACCCGGUCAAGUAUUCAGAUUUUAUUUUAAAACAAAAUACAGAAAACUAUGUGAAAAGAUUCUUAGUUUAUUGUACUUACCCAAGUCCUGAAGAGGGGAAACGUGGAAACACUUCAUAUAAACUUAUUUCAAGCUUGGCUUCAACCUUUUAAGCUUUUAGUCAUAACAUAGAGAUUAAAAGUUAAGUUUUUUUUUUACUGUAUUUAUGUUUCUGUGUUUGACUCGGGUUAUUUAAAGGAAAAGUAUGAUUUAGGGAAUGAUGUUUAUUCAAUUUCUUUUCCAUUUAGCUAUACACACUGUAGGUAUAUAUCAUAGUAUUCUAUUAUUACUGUAGUGGGUGUAUGUAUUGAGUUACCCAUAUUGUUCAUAUUCAUAUACCUUCACUGUUUUAUUGUGUAUAUGGGAAAUUAUUAUUCAUAUCUUACCCAUAGUUCCAUAUCAUGGCUACCUGAAUUUGACUCAAAUUAGUAAUAUAGUCUAAGGUUUUGAAAUGUCUGAGUGCUUCUUCAACCACUGGUCAUGUUAUAUUUCAUCAUAU